rnacentral:rRNA from 1 species
UACGUAGGGUGCGAGCGUUGUUCGGAAUUACUGGGCGUAAAGAGUGUGUAGGCGGUGCUCUAAGUUCGGUGUGAAAUCUCCCGGCUUAACUGGGAGGGUGCGCCGGAAACUGGAGUGCUCGAGUGCGGGAGAGGAUAGUGGAAUUCCUGGUGUAGCGGUGAAAUGCGUAGAUAUCAGGAGGAACACCGGUGGUGUAGACGGCUAUCUGGACCGUAACUGACGCUGAGGCACGAAAGCGUGGGUAGCAAACAGG